UACGUAGGGGGCGAGCGUUGUCCGGAGUUACUGGGCGUAAAGCGCUUGUAGGCGGUCCAUCAAGUUUGGGGUGACAGUUGCCGACUUAAUCGGCAAAGUGCCUCAAAGACUGGCGGACUUGAGGGCCACAGAGGGACAUGGAACUCCAGGUGUAGUGGUGAAAUGCGUAGAUAUCUGGAAGAACACCAAAGGCGAAGGCAGUGUCCUGGGUGGUCGCUGACGCUGAGAGGCGAAAGCCAGGGGAGCGAACGGG
rnacentral:rRNA from 1 species